GAAACCGACUUCAGAGAGUGGGGAGACGUUUAUCAUAUACAUAGACAUAUUACGGGAAUUUUUGUGCAAAGUCUUCAUAAGUCUUUUAAUAGUUGAAGAUAAAGACCAUUUAUUAGUUGGAAUAGCUGUCUGUAAAGAUACAGCAGAGCCAUUUUUCUGCCUUGUAACCCAGGAGGAGUACUUAUUAAUAUCAAAGAGAACACGUGUAGAAAAUCAAGGUUGCUGUGAAGGUGUGAACAGCUAUAAGAUCUCUUCUGAGACACUGGUUAUAUUUGCAUCAACAUCCAAUGCCUACAGAAAUCCUAACAGUAUGUGAAAUGUACAUAAAGUGAAGAACUGAAGAAUAUCUACAAUUUGAAGAGUUUUUCAAUACAGACGCAAUUUGCCAGACAAUGAAUCUGAUUUCACAUCACCAAAUUUUAACAAGAGAGAGACAAUAUGAUGAGCUUUCAUUCAAGGGGUCCCUUUUUGCUGAAUGAAAAUUAGGGCCUGAGCUAUGAACCCUAAUGUUCACAUAACAGCCAAGAAAAAGCAUUACUGGACUGCAUAUUAAUUUAAAACUUCUAUAUUGAUGAUGACAUUUAAUUUUUCAUUGAAACAUCUCUUUUUAUUUAUUACAUGAAAAGUAAAGGUAGGUAUUGCUGUGCUUGUGAAGCAUGGUUAUAUUUUCUGACACAAAAAUAUGAUUAGAUUGUAAAUGUACAGAAAUCACAAGUAGCCCUUUCCAUAUAUUUAUACCUUGCAUAAUCAGUUGUGGAGGGUAUGAUAAUUUUUACCUGUCAAUCAUUCAGUCUUUGGUCCUUUUUAGCUCACCUGAGCUAAAAACUCAAGUGAGCUUUUCUGAUCACAUUUUGUGUCGUCUGUCUGUCUGUCCGUCUGUAAACUUUUUACAGUUUCGACAUCUUCUCAAGAACUACUGGUCCAAUUUCAACCAAACUUGACACAAAUCACCCUUAGGCAAAGGCGGUUCAAAGGGCCAGGCCUUUUUUCAAGGGGAGAUAUAGAAAUUUUUGAGAAAUCUUUAAAAAUCUUCUUCUCAUAAACUAACCAGCCAGGAAAGCUGAAACUUGUUUAGAAGCAUCCUCAGGUAGUGUAGAUUGAAAGUUGUGAAAAUUAGGACCCCUCGUGGUCGGAUGCGGCCACUAUAGGGGGAGGAGGGGCAAAUUUUUACAUUAGAAUGUAUAGAGUAAAUCUUCUUCAUUAACUAAUCAGCCAGGAAAGCUGAAACUUGUGUGGAAGCAUCCUCAUGUAGUGUACAUUCAAAGUUGUAAAAAUCAUGAUCCCUAGUGGUAGGAUGGGGCCACA